GCUCAGAUAGCCUAAUGGUUAGAACGUCUGCCUCAGUUGCGGAAGGUCAUGGGUUCGAUCCCCGGUCAAGUCA